rnacentral:rRNA from 1 species
AAUAUGCCUUUUGGUGGGGGACAACAGCUAGGAAACGACUGCUAAUACCGCAUGAUGUCUACGGACCAAAGUGGGGGACCUUCGGGCCUCACGCCAAGAGAUUAGCCCAAGUGGGAUUAGCUAGUUGGUAAGGUAAUGGCUUACCAAGGCGACGAUCCCUAGCUGGUUUGAGAGGAUGAUCAGCCACACUGGGACUGAGACACGGCCCAGACUCCUACGGGAGGCAGCAGUGGGGAAUAUUGCACAAUGGGCGCAAGCCUGAUGCAGCCAUGCCGCGUGUGUGAAGAAGGCCUUCGGGUUGUAAAGCACUUUCAGUAAGGAGGAAAGGUUAAGUUUUAAUAGAGCUUAGCUGUGACGUUACUUACAGAAGAAGCACCGGCUAACUCCGUGCCAGCAGCCGCGGUAAUACGGAGGGUGCGAGCGUUAAUCGGAAUUACUGGGCGUA